GGAAGUCUUAUUACAAAAUAAAGAUAAACAUAAAACGAACUAAGGAUCGAUGGCGCCAAUGUCGACUGAGAAACGCCACCUAGAUCAGAUCGAACUCCUCAGUGUUAGGCAGCUCCUCUUCAACAACCUGUUCUUCUCCUGUGGGGGGGGUGUGAGACAGCAAGAGUGAGCUCACAUACGUUCAUAGCUCAACAAGUCGUGGGGAAUAAUGUGGCAUGAACUCACCAAAGGUGGGAGUUCAUGUAGUGUAAGGCUGAUCAAUGAAAUAGAGGUUGAGGCUGAGCAUUGCUUUUAUAAGUUGGUCAAAAUUUUAUUAGCAAUUACUAAGUGUAAGUAAAUACCAAACCUUAAUAAUAAUAAAGAACAGUAAUAGUAAAAUAAUCCCAAAUGCGAUGCAAAUGUCAAAUUGAAUUUAAGUUCCAUAAUUAAUCAUGUGAGGGUCCGAGCCGCUCUUGACCGUGAGCACGGCUAGUAUACCAGUUUUACACUCUGCAGAGGUUGCGCAUCUUUACCCACAAGUCGUGUAUCCCAUGUCGCCUGGGUUUGCAAGGCCCUUAGACACUACCGAGGUGAAUGGCUAGGGAUCCACUACGAGGCCUUUACAAAGUUCCACUAGCUUCCGAAAACCCGCUACAGUUUAUGGGAAGAUCCAGUACAGGGUUCCUGGCUGACAGCCAUCGCAGCAAAAUCAACCAGGGACCUCCCCGCACUGACCUCUCCCCUACUGCCCUUGCCCCUUUCGGGUAAGGUAGUCUUCCACUAGCUUUCCUAAUUAGUCAGCCAAGGGCGUCCCAUUAUACCCUUGUGGUAGCACUGUUUUCCCGGGUGGUCGCUCCAUGUUCCCAUUAAUUUAAUGAUCUUAACAUGAACAAUAAUAAUAACAAGUUAAUAACAGAAUAAUCAUGAAUAGUGUAUCUCCAUACCCAAUCCACAUAAAGCAAUAGCAAGUACUACCCAAAAAUAUUUCAGGGGUGAACAAGGUAUAGAGGUAAUCAAAACUGGGGUAACAUAAAGGCUCCCAUCAAAAUUAUCCUAUGCAGAUCAUUAAAAUUAAUAAGAACAUGGCUGGGAAAGUAAGUGAUCAAGGGCACAACUUGCCUUCAAUGAGCUCCUGCUCAGCUAUCUCUACUUGUUGAAGCUCAGGUUCCACAGUGGGUUGCUCGUCUACUCGCAUCAACACAAUACAUACAUAGUAUAGCCAAAAUCAACAUCACACCAAACAGAUGAAUGAAAUAUACAGUAAAAAUCUACACAUUAAAAUGAGACCAUAGGAACUGGAAUCACUGAAUUUGGAGUUAUAGAAUUCAAGUUAUGAAUUUCCUAAGAUGUAAGGUGAUUAUAAUAGGAUUAGAUGAUAAAUUAAUUUUCUAACAGAGUUCAUGUCAAAACAGUGACUCAAAGUGUUAGAGAAUAAUAUUACAAAAUUUUAGAAAUUGGAAUGGUUCAAUUUGGGUCAAAAAUGGAAUUUCUAUGAAUUUUACAAGUUUCUAGAAUUGUUUUUGUAUUAAAAACAAAUUUUUAUAAUAAAUUCUCUGUUUUUAAUUGUCUCUGGUCUGGGCGCCAAAUUCCAGAAAACACAGGGGCUAGCGGGUAAUUUAAACCAGACUCAGUGAAUAAUAACACGUGGACUGCGGGUUGGUUUUAUGAUUCUGCGGGGGCUCUUUAGAAAAACUGCCCCGCGAAGGGGGUAUCGGGCGUUUCUGGCCGAUGGAUCAAGAUUGGAUGGCUCAGAUUUAAAUAAGCGAAGGGGUACGUUAUGUCUAAUCUGAGACGCUCAUUAUCAAUCGGACGGUCCAGAUUGGAUCGCCCAGGGGGUAUGCGUGAUCAAAUCUGCUCCGCCCAUCUAAGAUCCUACGGUUGGCACGAGGCCAGACCGAGGCGAUGAAUUCUGCCUAAUCUACACCGUCCAUCCUAAUCGGACGGUCGACGAUCUUUUCCCCAAUCGCUACCGACGGCAGCGGCGGCGCUCUCCUCCACACGGCGGCGCAUCGCCGGAGGAACACCCAAUCGCGCUCCCGGACUUCGAUUCCUACCCUCAACUCGAGAUUUAGGUAGCGGAUCACCUAACCAAUCUCACCGGGCUAUCAAUUUAAGGGAUCAGCUGCGCACGGAUCCCGCUCACGCAGCGGAGCGGCUCUACGGUGACAUCGCACGACGACGAGCAAUCACGCACCCACAACUGCACUAUCCUCAACGAUUCCAGGUGUACUGCAUUCACAGAGGUAACCGAAGGCUCGGCGAUGAUCCUUACCUUAGUUUGGCGACCGCAGGCGCACCGUCGAUGGCGAUGUGCGGAUGGCACGGCGAGGAUGGCACCCCGGUGAGGAAUUCACCGCGCUCCGAAGACGUCCAAGCCAGCACAAGGUCCCCGAAAGCUUCCCGGCGCCUCGGCGAUCCCGAUAGGUGGUACGCCGAGGGUGGAUCGCUAGUCUAGAGGCAGGCAGCUGGCGGCGGCUUCAACAGCGCGAUUUGCUUACGGCGGCGGUGAAUAGCGAUGGAGGGACACUGACCUAGGGUUAUCGAGGGUCAAGGUACUGUGGCUCUUGGUCAUAUAUUCCCCCGAGUCCGGUCAACACCGCACCGCCACGCCGCGAUUGUGCCCGCAAGUUCCGCCGGAGUGCGUGCGAGUUUGUUCCGAAGUCUCCGGGUUGCAGAUGAACCUGACAGCGGGUCCCGCGGGGCAGUGAAACGCGAUCGCGGGCGCGCUGUAUACCGACUGACGGAGCGGUCCCGCCGCGCAGCGAGAGGGCGAAGCGCGACGCAAGGGAGGCUGACGAGUGGAGCCCACAUGUCGGCGCGGGCGUGCGGGGGCUGAGUCCAGGAAUGGGCCGAGCGCGGGAUCCCCCCCGGUGGGCCGAAUUCGUGGUCCAGGGCCCAGGUAAGGUUUAUUUCUUUUUCUUUUUAUUUUUCUGUUUUCUUUCUUCAUUUUCAAACCAAAUUUGACUUAGUUCAAACUUUUGUGGAUCCUCUUUUAUAAACUCUAUUUUUGUAUCUAAAAAUAGUAAGCCUGAAGAUAUUUAUGUAUACAUUUUAUUUUUAUUUCCAUAUCUCUUCUCUUUUCCUUAUUUUCCAAAACCCUAAUUUCAAAUUUUGGGUUAAAUCAAGUUUCAACUAAUUAAUACCUCAUUAUUUUUAUCCUCAUGGUUUUAUUUAAUGCACAACACAUAAAACUCCAACAUAUGCACUUUUCUUCAUUUUAGAAUAAUUGUUUUAUUUAGUCACUCUCAAUUACAUAGGUGCUCUUUUUAUGAUGCAAGUAAGACACACAAAAUGAGGAGCUCUCUUUAUUACUCAUGGUAUACAACUUGAGUAUUACAAAUCCUACCCCCCUUAAAAAUAAUCUCGUCCUCGAGAUUUAAGAAGAUCUAGGGAAAAGGUGGGGAAAAUCUAUACGAAGCUCUUCUUCUCUUUCCCAAGUUGCCUCAUCUUCUCCGUGGUGACUCCAUUGAACUUUGCACAUCUUUAUAACCUUAUUCCUCGUAACUCGAGUCAAAGUAUCCAAAAUCUUGAUGGGGUACUCAGCAUAAGUCAAAUCCUCUUGAACACUAAGGUCUUCCAGUGGUAACUGUUCUUCAGGCACCCUGAGACAUUUCUUCAGCUGAGAUACAUGAAAGACAUCAUGCACAUCCGCGAGAUGAUCCGGUAACUCCAAUUGAUAUGCAACUUCUCCCACUCGCUUUAAGAUUAAAAAGGGUCCAAUAAAGCGAGGGGACAACUUUCCUUUGACUUUGAACCUUCUCAUGCCCCGGAGUGGUGACACCUUCAAAUAGACAUAAUCACCCUCCUUAAACUCAAGUAGUCUUCUCCGGGUGUCAGCAUAGCUUUUCUGCCUGGACUGUGCAGUUCUCAAAUUCUCCCUUAUUUGCUGAACUUGUUCCUCUGCUUCUUGUAUAAUCUCAGGUCCAAACAACUGCCUUUCACCAGUUUGAUUCCAAUACAAGGGAGUCCUGCACUUUCUGCCAUACAAAGCCUCAAACGGUGACAUCUUCAAACUGGCCUGAUAGCUAUUAUUAUAUGAGAACUCUGCAUAAGGCAAACUCUUAUCCCAACUUCCACCAUGCUUAAGAGCACAAGCUCUUAACAUAUCUUCCAGUACUUGGUUAGUCCUCUCAGUUUGCCCAUCAGUCUGGGGAUGGUAAGCUGAACUAAAAUUCAAUCUCGUAUCCAAAGACUCGUGCAACUGCUUCCAAUAUCGAGAGGUAAACUGUGAUCCUCGAUCUGACACAAUCUUCUUUGGCACACCAUGCAGGCAUACAAUCCGUGCCAUGUACAACUCUGCCAACUUAGCUCCUGAAUAAGUGGUCUUCACUGGAAUAUAGUGGGCUACUUUGGUUAGCCUGUCCACAAUCACCCAUAUAGAAUCAUAUCCAGCAGACGUGCGGGGUAAUCCAACAAUGAAGUCCAUGCCAAUCUCUUCCCAUUUCCACUCAGGUAUCUUUAGUGGGUAUAAUAGUCCAGCUUGUCUUUGGCGUUCGGCCUUAACUCUUUGACACACAUCGCACAUAACCACAUGUGCAGCCACAUCUCUCUUUAAUCCAUACCACCAACACUUCCGCUUCAAAUCCGGAUACAUCUUGGUACUCCCAGGGUGGAUAGAAUAAACUGAAUCAUGUGCCUCCUUCAAUAUGGUUUCCCGAAGACUAUCAAUAUCGGGAACACAGAUCCGAUUCUUGAACCAUAUCGUGCCUUGUUCAUCCUCCGUGAACUCCGGGCCUCUACCUUCAGUAAUAAGAUCCUUGACCUCUUGAAUCUUAGCAUCACCAACCUGACCUUUACGAAUUUCUUGUUCCAAGGUAGGUUCCAAUUCAAUAGUCACCCCUUCCGUAUGUGUAACGAUUCCCAGGUUGAGUCUCUCAAAAUCUUUUGCUAAUUCAUCAGGUAGCUGGACAACGAAAGCGGAGUGAACAUGUUCCUUCCGACUCAAGGCAUCUGCAACCAAAUUUGCCUUGCCUGGGUGAUAGUGAAUCUCCAAAUCAUAAUCUUUAAUGAGCUCCAACCAACGGCGUUGCCUAAGGUUGAGAUCCUUUUGAGUGAAUAUGUACUUCAAACUCUUAUGAUCCGUGUACACUUGACACUUGGUUCCCAUAAUAUAAUGUCUCCAAAUCUUAAGCGCAUGCACUACGGCUGCCAGUUCUAAGUCAUGAGUGGGGUAGUUUAACUCAUGUUUCCGCAACUUGACGAGACGCAUAGGCGAUCACAUGUCCUUCUUGCAUGAGCACACAUCCCAAGCCUUGGCCACAUGCAUCACAGUAAAUGUCAAAUCCCUUCUGUAGGUCUGGCAUAAUCAACACUGGUGGUGACAUCAAUCUCUUCUUCAAUUGAUCAAAGUUGUCUUGACACUUCUCGUCCCACUUAAAUUCUCUUCCUUUCUCCAAAAGCGAAGUCAUAGGCUUAGCAAUCCUUCAAUAAAUCUCCUUAACCUUAGCAGGAUCCACUGAUAUUCCUCCAUUAGAAAUAAUAUGACCAAGAAAUGGUACUUCGCCAAUCCAAAACUCGCACUUGCUGAACUUAGCGUAGAGCUGAUUAUCUCGUAGCUUCUGUAGCACCAACCUUAGAUGUUCUUCAUGGUCACUCUCAUUCUUAGAAUAGAUAAGAAUAUCGUCGAUGAAUACCACGACGAAUCUGUCCAAAUAUUCCAUAAACACUUUGUUCAUCAAAUUCAUGAAAUAAGCCGGUGCAUUUGUUAGUCCAAAUGACAUAACAGUAAACUCAUAUAAUCCAUAUCGAGUCGAGAAAGCCGUCUUGGGAAUAUCCGAUGGUCUAAUCCUCAUCUGAUGGUAACCGGAUCGGAGAUCAAUCUUCGAAAAUACUCUUGCACCUCUCAUUUGAUCAAAUAAAUCCUCAAUACGGGGCAACGGGUACUUGUUCUUCACCGUAACAUCAUUAAGAGAUCUAUAAUCCACACACAUCCGUUGCGAUCCAUCCUUCUUCUGCACGAAUAACACCGGUGCUCCCCAAGGUGAGGAACUUGGACGAAUGUAACCAGCCUCUUGUAACUCCGUUAACUGCUUCUUCAGUUCCUUCAACUCCUCUACGGACAUUCUAUAUGGCCGUUUAGAAAUAGGGGCGGUUCCAGGUAAGAGAUCAAUAACAAACUCAACUUCUCUAUCAGGUGGCAUCCCUGGUAACUCCUCUGGAAAGACAUCCGGAAAAUCUCUAACCACCCGGAUGUUGUCACCAACAAACUCCUCAGGCAUAAAGAACAUUGCACGCAUGGAUGAGGAGGUUACUGCAAUAUUAACUUGAAACCUUUCUCCUUUAGUGGUAGUGAGUUCUAUGGUACCUCUACCACAUGCUAUAACGGCCUUGCCAUCCUUAACCAUGACAUACCAAGUAUCAAAUCUAUACUGCUUGACUCCAAUAUUAUAGCAGUAGCUCCAAAUUCUCUACCCAUAAUGGUUAAUGUCAAUCUACGUGUCAUUUGAUUCGCCUCAACAGGCCCUUUAGGUGUAAUUACUAUCAGGGGUUUUCUCAUAUUUAGCAGUGGUAUUUCAUUUGUGUUGGCAUAUCGAGCAGACAUGAAUGAAUGUGUAGCACCAGAAUCAAAUAAUAUUGUUGCAGGAAUUGCAUUAACAUAAAACAUACCAAUUACGAGGUCCCCACCAUCAGGAGUAUCAUCAACG
rnacentral:lncRNA from 1 species